UCUGAUCACAAAACCUGUAUAAGCUUUUUGAUCAUGGAUAACAGAAACAUCAAAAUUCAGUUUUAAAAAAGAAGGUAGCGGAGGGUGCCAUUUAAUAAGUCUAGAACAAGACCUUUGAUUCUUAAAGUGAACUUGUGAAGCAUUAUUCUAGAUCAUGAAAGCAACAGUAUAGAAAACCUGAAUCGUUGUUUUGUAGAUAUUUCUGAAAAUUAAGUUAUUUCUAGCAUGCCAGAUAUUAUAACAGAUAAAAAGAACUUUGUUCAACGAAUCUAGAUCAUCAAAAUGUUUUGAAGCACAAAGAGAGAGCCAAGAAUAAAAAUCAGUAGAGGGGAUAGUAAUACGAUAAUACCAGCAUAGUUCCAUACCUCUUUAGCAAAACAACAAUAAUGAAAAAGAUGAUUCGUACUUUCAAGUUCAUAAUGACUGUGAGCCAAGAACGGUCUUUGAAGCUGAUGAGAAAAAAUGAUAUCUCUAGUUUUCAAUCUUCCUCUAAUUAGACUAAAUAUGUGGACUUGAUAUGUGGAUUAGGAUAGGGCAAAUUACAUAUAAGUCCACUUUAAGAUAUUUGUUCCCACAUAAGUCCACCCUAACAUUUUUACCCAUAUAAGUCCACCCAAGCUUAAAUAAGGUUUUGGUUUAAGUAUUGAAGUUCAACAUAAUUACAGACUGCUAUCCAACAAAAAAAAUUAGAUUUUCUCUUUUAUAUUUACAAAAAUGCCACUAAUGUAAAAAGUCAACAACCACUCUUCUCCCCGGAAAAGUCUCCGGCAGACCUCCGGCGAGGUCUCUGAUGGACUCCGGCCGACCUCCGGCAAUGUCUCCGGCUGAAUUCCGAUGAGGUUUUCAACGGUUACGAAAGCUACUACCGCCAGCAAGAAAAGCUACUAUCCCUAGCUACAAAACUACUACCACAGACUAUAAAUGCUACUACCGCCAGCAAGAAAAAUUACUAUCCUUAGCUACAAAAACUAUUAUCCCUAGCUAGAAAAGCUACUACCACAGAUUAGAAAAGCUACUACCACCGACUAUAAAAGCUACUACCGCCAGUAAAAAAAGCUACUAUCCCGAACUACAAAAGCUACUAUCCCUAGCUAGAAAAGCUACUACCACCGACUAGAAAAGCUACUACCACUGACUAGAAAAGCUACUACCACCAGCAAGAAAAGCUACUACCAUCGAAUAGAAAAGCUACUACCACCGACUACAAAAGCUAUUACCACCAGCAAAAAAACUACUACCACCAGCAACAAAAGCUACUCCAUCAACUAGAAAAGCUACUAUCCCUAACUACAAAAGCUACUACCAUACAUAAUAAAAUCUACUACUACCAAGUAAUACAAAAUAUACUAUUACAGUGUCAAAAAUAUACUAUCGUAAUGACAAAAAUAUACUACUACUGUGUUGGAAAUAUACUAUCAUAACCAUAACCAGUCAAUUGUGAGCUUGUUGAGCGUUGAGCAUGUCAAGAGGACGGUUCCAUUCUCGGUAGAGCCUUCGUUUCCCGACGCCGUCGAUGCCAGCAACGACGGGUUUAUCUAGAUCGGAUCUAGAGUUGAAGGCGCUAGAUGGUUGAGCAGAUCAAAUCAGAAGGCGUCAUCGUCGAUCCGGAGGCUUCGUCGUUGGGCCGGCGACGUCGAGGUCGAAUCAGAACAAGUCAAGGUCAAAUCAGAAGAGGCCGAGGUUGAGGCCGAAUUAGAAGUCUGGAUCGGAUCUAGAGGUGAAGGCGCUAGAUGGUUGAGCGGAUCAAAUCAGANNNNNNN
rnacentral:lncRNA from 1 species